rnacentral:rRNA from 1 species
UACGAAGGGAGCUAGCGUUGUUCGGAAUCACUGGGCGUAAAGGGUGCGUAGGCGGGUCUUUAAGUCAGGGGUGAAAUCCUGGAGCUCAACUCCAGAACUGCCUUUGAUACUGAAGAUCUUGAGUUCGGGAGAGGUGAGUGGAACUGCGAGUGUAGAGGUGAAAUUCGUAGAUAUUGGGAAGAACACCGGUGGCGAAGGCGGCUCACUGGCUCGUAACUGACGCUCAUGCACGACAGCGUGGGGAUCAAACAGG